ACGGAAGGCAGCAGUGGGGGAUAUUGCACAAUGGAGGAAACUCUGAUGCAGCAACGCCGCGUGAGGGAAGAAGGUCUUCGGAUUGUAAACCUCUGUCCUUGGAGAAGAUAAUGACGGUAUCCAGGGAGGAAGCUCCGGCUAACUACGUGCCAGCAGCCGCGGUAAUACGUAGGGAGCAAGCGUUGUCCGGAUUUACUGGGUGUAAAGGGUGCGUAGGCGGCUUAGCAAGUCAGGCGUGAAAACUAUGGGCUUAACCCAUAGCCUGCGUUUGAAACUGUUGAGCUUGAGUGAAGUAGAGGCAGAUGGAAUUCCCGGUGUAGCGGUGGAAUGCGUAGAGAUCGGGAGGAACACCAGUGGCGAAGGCGGUCUGCUGGGCUUUAACUGACGCUGAGGCACGAAAGUGUGGGUAGCAAACAGGAUUAGAUACCCUGGUA
rnacentral:rRNA from 1 species